rnacentral:lncRNA from 1 species
GUAAAAUUUAGACUUUAUUAUGUCUAGUUGAGACUCAUGAAAACGUUGCAUUCUUAAGCACCACAUCUGAAAAUGUAAAAUAUAAAACCCAGUUUUGUUUUAUGAUCCUGCAACAGAACAGUACAUAAAAAGAAAAUAUCAAUUAGAAUCCCAAUCUCAUGUCACAUUUCAGCAAGGCUGUCUUCCUGCCUGUUUUCCCUAGAGAAAGGAGGGACCACCCAAGGAUCUGAGAGCUGCAGGGACAGCUGGGACACAGCUCUACUCCUCUAAGUCCCAGAGUCCCACAAGGUCAAACAAUGGGAGCAGGAGGUAGGGGCAAGGCCAGUUCCCGUGGCUGGGAGGCAGCAGCAUCCACAGGCACAGCGUCUCACUGGAUCAGUCCCGAUAAAGACCGGGUGGAUCCAUGAAGGCAGAUUCUUGCCUGUAUCCCCAGCUGAUGAAUCUGGCUCUCUCAGCUCCUAUUAAACCCUCUUUCUACACCAAGGGACUAGGAAGCAGAGAAGAGUCCAGCAGGGGGAAAAAGAAAAAGUCAUUUCUAUCCAAGUCUCAAGAGCUACGAUUGGCUUAGCUAGUCCUGGGAUGAUUUGUGAAAUGAAAGGAAACUUGACUCCAAGAACUGCCGCCAGGAGAAGCCUUGGGGAUGGAGGCCAAGCAUUCAAACAAGAGGUUGAAGUUGAGCAAUGGAUGGCAGCACUCCAGGCACCAGAAGGGACCAGAUGCACCUGCCUAGGCACUGAAGCUUGACAGGACUCGGGCAGGCCCGACCUAACCAGAGAGGUGUGGGAGGAGGCAGAGCAAAGGGCCUGACUGGAGAAGCUGGCCACGACCCAAUCUCUUCCUGAUUUGAUCAUGGCCAUUCUUCCUGCACCAGAAUCCCAAGAACAAGGUUAGUGGUCCUGCUCUUACAUGCAUACCUCCCAUUUGUCUUCCAACAUAAACAAUUCGGAAACUAAAAGAUAGAAAUCUUCACCCUUCUUCUCUUUGGCUGACAAUGAGACCAUGUAGGUUUUUAGGACAUCAUCUCCCAUGAUUCUGGACCAGGCAAAAUGACAGAAAUCACGUGAGACUGGAGUGUUCCAUCACUGAGAAGAUCAACGGCCACUGGCCUGGCCUAC